AUGACCAAAUACUCAUUCUUCACUUUUCUUCUCAAAAAUAAAUAAACGAAUCUCUUCAUUAUUUCUCAAAAAAAAUUUGAAGGAUAUGGAAGAAAUUCUCUUUACAUAGAUCUAUUCUACCAUGGAAAUUGAUCUUGUUAUGCUACUUAUUCUUCUUCUAUUACUUUUUUUAAUAAUUAUCAAAAGAAAAUCUCUUCGUUCUUUAGCAGAAGAGAGAAGAAAUUGCAGAUUCGUAGCGGAAUCGCUAUGGUUGUUAUUCUAAUUUUUGUAGGGACCAAAACCUCGAUCUACAACCGGUUAUGCUAUCUUUCUAAUAGAAGAUAAACCUCGGAGGAUUCUUCGAACUUUGGAGCACACGAAGAGCUCACUUACAAGAGCAUCUAAGCUGCAAAGUUGUUGUACCAGAACUGUAGAAGUUAAAUUAUCAUUGCUCUUGAAUGUUAUGUUAUGUUAUGUAUAAACUUUAUUUUAAUUUUUCAUUUA